UACGAAGGGAGCUAGCGUUGUUCGGAAUUACUGGGCGUAAAGGGCGCGUAGGCGGCUAGGCAAGUCAGGUGUGAAAGCCCCGAGCUUAACUCGGGAAUUGCAUCUGAAACUGCUGUGCUUGAGUUCUGGAGGGGGUAGUGGAAUUCCCAGUGUAGCGGUGAAAUGCGUAGAUAUUGGGAGGAACACCUGCGGCGAAGGCGGCUACCUGGACAGAAACUGACGCUGAGGCGCGAAAGCUGGGGGAGCGAACGGG
rnacentral:rRNA from 1 species